GAUGAACGCUGGCGGCGUGCUUAACACAUGCAAGUCGAACGAGGUCCAUGGAGCUUGCUCCGGAAGACCUAGUGGCGAACGGGUGCGUAACACGUGAGAAACCUGCCCCGAUCUCUGGGAUAACAGUUGGAAACGACUGCUAAUACCGGAUGCCGUCACACCGCCUCAUGGCGGAGUGCCGAAAGAUUUAUCGGAUCGGGAGGGUCUCGCGGCCUAUCAGCUAGUUGGAGAGGUAACGGCUCACCAAGGCAUCGACGGGUAGCUGGUCUGAGAGGAUGAUCAGCCACACUGGGACUGAGACACGGCCCAGACUCCUACGGGAGGCAGCAGUGGGGAAUCUUGCACAAUGGGCGAAAGCCUGAUGCAGCAACGCCGCGUGCGGGAAGAAGGCCCUAGGGUUGUAAAC
rnacentral:rRNA from 1 species